rnacentral:rRNA from 1 species
AUUGAACGCUGGCGGCAGGCCUAACACAUGCGAGUCGAGCGGCAGCGGGAAAGUAGCUUGCUACUUUUGCCGGCGAGCGGCGGACGGGUGAGUAAUGCCUGGGAAAUUGCCCAGUCGAGGGGGAUAACAGUUGGAAACGACUGCUAAUACCGCAUACGCCCUACGGGGGAAAGCAGGGGACCUUCGGGCCUUGCGCGAUUGGAUAUGCCCAGGUGGGCUUAGACAGUUGGUGAGGUAAUGGCUCACCAAGGCGACGAUCCCUAGCUGGUCUGAGAGGAUGAUCAGCCACACUGGAACUGAGACACGGUCCAGACUCCUACGGGAGGCAGCAAUGGGGAAUAUUGCACAAUGGGGGAAACCCUGAUGCAGCCAUGCCGCGUGUGUGAAGAAGGCCUUCGGGUUGUAAAGCACUUUCAGCGAGGAGGAAAGGUUGGUGCCUAAUACGUAUCAACUGUGACGUUACUCGCAGAAGAAGCACCGGCUAACUCCGUGCCAGCCGCCGCAGUAACAC